rnacentral:rRNA from 1 species
UCGAGGAUCUUUGGCAAUGGACGCAAGUCUGACCAAGCGACGCCGCGUGGACGAUGAAGGCCUUCGGGUUGUAAAGUCCUGUCGAGGGGGAUCAAGGGGCAACCUUGAGUGAUCCCUGGAGGAAGGGCGGGCUAAGUUCGUGCCAGCAGCCGCGGUAAGACGAACUGCCCAAACGUUGUUCGGAAUCACUGGGCUUAAAGGGCGCGUAGGCGGCUUACCAAGUCAGGGGUGAAAUCCGGCAGCUUAACUGUCGAAGUGCCUUUGAUACUGGUGAGCUCGAGGGAGGUAGGGGUCCGUGGAACUUCCGGUGGAGCGGUGAAAUGCGUUGAUAUCGGAAGGAACGCCGGUGGCGAAAGCGACGGACUGGAUCUCUUCUGACGCUGAGGCGCGAAAGCUAGGGGAGCAAACGGGAUUAGAUACCCCCGUAGUCC